rnacentral:lncRNA from 1 species
AGUGAGGGGACUAAAUAAAUAUUGUUGGGGACCUUUACGUAAUAAGUCUUUUCUAUAGGGAUCAAAUACAAAAUACAGAAGAUCCUUUUUUGUGAAAUAAUAUACUGUCAAGGGCUUAUCUGCAAAAUUUCAUUUAGUGGCCAAAUGGGUUUGGGUUUCGGGUUUCGGAUUUGGGUUCGGAUUCGGGUUCCGGGCUCAGAUCUGAACUGGGUUUCAGUUUUGGAAAAAUUUUUUUUAACCGGGCCCAUGUUGGGCCCAUAGUGAACCGGGCCCACAGUGAACCGGCCCAUGUUGGGCCCUGUUCGGCCCGUAGGGCCAUCUUCCUCCCCCAAUCCCCCCCCCCACGGCAGGGGAAGACCGAGAGGGAGAGCGGAAGAGGAAGGGGGCGGCGGGGUGGCCAGAGGCCACCCCUCGGUCGACGGCCAGCCGGCUGCAGUGGCGGCUGGCGGCCGUUGCGGUGGCCNNNNNNNNNNNNNNNNNNNNNNNNNNNNNNNNNNNNNNNNNNNNNNNNNNNNNNNNNNNNNNNNNNNNNNNNNNNNNNNNNNNNNNNNNNNNNNNNNNNNNNNNNNNNNNNNNNNNNNNNNNNNCCGGCGAUCGAGCGGUGGCGAUGGCGACGGCGACGCUUUCCGAAAGGGAAGUGGAUCCCAAAAUAGGGGAGGGCACGGGUGGUGAUGGUGGUGGAUCCGGCGGCCCGCCAGCCACUUGGGAGGCUAGAGCAGAGGAAGAAGAGGGAGGAGAAGGAGGAGAGGAGGGGGGUUCGGUGGUUCCCUAGGGAAGAAAGGGUGGGGUUUUUAUUGUCCCCACCAUAACGGCCCUCCGCCGCGAAAAUCGCGGCGGUCGGGCGAGAUCCGCGGCCGUGAAUUGGCCGCGGAUUGGCUAGGGGGCACCGCGGAAUACCCGCGGCGUCCUUGCCCCUUUUGGUCCCCCGGAGGAGCCGGAGAGGAUGGUGAUCCUCUCCGGUUCCUCCCAUAUCAGGAUCGGGGCUGAAGUCGGCUGGGGCUGCCGACUUCAGCCCCGUAUCUCACAUUCUCUCCCCCUUAAGAAAAUUUCAUCCUCGAAAUUUAAAAAAAAACUCUAGGUCUUCCAAAUUUAGAGGUGCACAGUCCAUUGAGUAAUAUAAAUCCAAGAUCUCAUUCUUCUUGAUCAAAAGCAGUGUGAUGGAUAACUUUGAAUCGACUAUCAAAACUUUCAUAUAGACUCGCAAGAUUAGCACUAGAUAAGUGACUGACUAAAAUUUUAUAUUGAAAUUAUCAUCUUGAUGCACGUUCACUCGAGAUCGAAUCAGGCUCAAUUCUCAACCGGAUUGAUUAAAAUUAAUUAUAUUUGGGAUAGAACUUGAAAUGAAAUGGAUCUCAUACACUUAUCAAGGUAGUAUGCUGAUCCCUCAAAGGAUAAUGACCAACCUUAGAGUCAAAUCAUUAUAUUGCUAAGAAUAUUAUUCACAAAAUGAACAUGUACUAAUGAUCAUUAGAUAGCAAUGAUUUAUCUCAAAAAUGAUUUGCAUCAAAUCACAAAAGCAGGUCUAAGAAGACAAAGUAUUGAUACCAUGAUUCAAUAUGCCACAAAGCUUUUAACUUAAACUUAUAAAUCAUAAGAUGAGAGCAAUGAAUGCAUGGUUUAUUUAGAUACUUAACAUAUUAGACCAUAUUGGGUCAACAAUCAACUAACCCGAGUCAUGAUACGUUCAAAUUAUCAUUAUUAUUAUUAUUCUCUUAGCAUACCCAAAAAUAGCAAAGUCUAUCCAAGAAAUAACAUAAUCAUAUCAAGAUUGACAUGAGAAUCAAUAGUAUUCACCUUCGCUUAUUAACAAAAUCUUUCAUUAUUGAACAACAUAGUCUUUCAUCAUAACAUGUUACCAAAACACAGUCAAUAUUUUUAACCAGUUUAAAUUGAUUUAGUCCAUCAUACUUUCGCUACGCAUCUCUGAUUAAUAUUUUUCAAAAUUUCUUAAUGAUCCCAGAUCAUCAAUAUAUAUAUAUUUUUUAUCCAAGUAAAAUUCUAUCCUUGCUUCCCAAGUACACUAGGUCAUGAUUAACCCUUGAGAUAGUUGUCGUAUUUGUACCAUCAUAUAAUUAUCAAAUUAGCAGGCAAGUCUCUACCUACUAUCUGAACUGGACAAGUCUUGCAGACCUGAUUACUAAUCAUCCUACUCCCAGCCGGAGUGCUAACAUGCAUAUCAUACUCAAACAGCAUGCAAGGUAGGUCAUAUUUUCGCACAAAUAUCGAUGACACAGUGAAUGUGUAGCACCAGAAUCAAUUAGUAUAUAAGCAUAAACAGAAGCAACCGGUAGUGUACCUGACACCACAGUAUUGGAUGCCUGAGCAUUGUGCUGAGUCAGUGCAUAAAUACGACCCUGUGUGUACGGUCUCCCUCCUAUCUGCUGCUUAGAAGAAGAAGGCUGAGCUGACUGAGCCGGAGUAGGAGAAGCUUGCACUUGCUGGGUUCUUGUAGUUUGAGGCCUCUGAACUGAUUGAGAGUCUUGCUGAUUAUAAGGGCACUCCUUUAUCCUAUGACCCUGUUGGCCACAUUUGAAACAAGCGCCGGACAACCGUCUACAAAGUUCUGUCUUAUGGGCGCCUCCACAUGCUUCACAUUUAAGCUUCUCUUGUUGAAUAGUCUCUCCAUAAGAUCUCUGCUUUUCUGAUUGCCCGGAUCUAUUACGAAAUUUUGCUGUCCUGCCAGAAUUCUGUCCACUAUGAGUAUCAUCAUCUCUGCUCCUCUUCUUUUGUAUUCUAUCUUUUGAAUCUUGUGUUUCCUUCCAGACAAUUUCCAUAUUCUUGGCCCUGUCUACCAGGUCAUCGUAGUUUGUUGAGUGCACUACGGCCAAACCCCGACGUAAGUGAGGCUUCAAUCCUUCUUCAAAUCUCCUCAUCCGGGAUUCUGCAUCUAUGACGAGGGUGGGAGCAAACCGAGCUAACCUGUCAAACUCUGCCUCAUACUCACCACAGUCAUAGUUCCUUGAGGCAGAUUUAGAAAUUCUCUCUCUAGCUCCCUAAGGCGACUUGAAGGAAAAUACUUGGAGUAGAAGGCUGUGCGAAACCUCUGCUAGGUAAGUGCCUCCUGCUCGGAUGCCAAUGUGCGCUCCACAGACAUCCACCAAUGAUGAGCUCGGUCCUGAAGCAUAUAUGUGGCAAAUCUGACCUUCUCUUCAUCAGUGCACUCCAUUGCUCUGAAGGCUUUCUCCAUUUCAUCUAUCCAGGCUUCGGCCUCUUGAGGACUAGUGGUGCCUUUAAAAACUGAAGGAGCCAUUCUCCUNNNNNNNNNNNNNNNNNNNNNNNNNNNNNNNNNNNNNNNNNNNNNNNNNNNNNNNNNNNNNNNNNNNNNNNNNNNNNNNNNNNNNNNNNNNNNNNNNNNNNNNNNNNNNNNNNNNNNNNNNNNNNNNNNNCCGGUGGCAGUUUCUGGAGUUGAUUGACCCUGGGGUCCUGAGCUAUGCGAUGCCUCGCCAGCUUGGUUGGUAGGAGCUCUUCUCCGAGAGCCCCUGACCAUCCGAUUCAGGCUAAGGACACGACGAGGCGGCAUUCUGAUUCAGUAAAAAUAUAUAGAUGUUAUAAAAUCAUCCAAACAGAAUAAUACGAAAUAGUUAAUAAAAUAAAUAAACAUUAUCCCCUUAUCUGGUUCCUACCCAUCUCUCAACCUUUCUGACGGAUCCUACGAAUCCUAAAACUUAGGCUCAAUAUAAUUGUUUCAGUUACAAUCCCUAGUGAUCUUAAACCUGAGCUCUGAUACCACCAAAUCUGUCACGCCCCGAGCCCGAGGCGCGGUAGACGCCGCACGCCCGCAUGGCGGGCCGCACAGGCGUGCUAGGCAUCGGAUCAUAUCAAAGCAAAUACAGAUGUUCAAAAGCAGUCUUACAAAAUUUCAAAUAACAUAUGCUGACGUAAGUCAAAUACUCUAAUCAAUCUAACUAAAGGACCAAUAACUAAUGGAAUCAUCGGAACAUCUAACGCACUCCCCAAUCCCGUGCGAUCAAGCUUCUGGAUCUGAAAAUUAAAGAAAAUAAAAUAAUGAGCUACACUAGCCCAGUAAGCAACAAAAUACCCCAAAGUGGGGUCAGAACAUAUCAGAUCAAAUGCAGGAUAAUAUCUGGAAUAAAUCAUAAGUAACAUCAUUUGUUGUUUUCAAAACUUAUUAUCAUUUUUCGGAAAACAUAAUAUCAGAAUCUCAACAUAAUAGGCUACGGCCACGUAACCCAGUGGCAUGGGUUGUACAAGGUGCCAAACACCACUAUUAUUAAGCACCGGUGGUACGGUGUCCAAAUACUACUAUUCUAAUCACCGGUGGUAUGCUGUUGAAACCGGUUCCUCACAGAUUACAAGUCGACAGGGCCAACGUAUAAUCCCCAUUGGUGGGGCCAGAACAGAACAGAACAGAUCAUAGCCAUGCUGAGAAUGCAUAUAUAUAAAAAAAUAGAUUUCAUAAAUUAUCCGGUUAUAUUUUGCGGAUUUCAGAGCAUAUAACAAAAUUUUCAAAUAAAAUUUAACAUGCCUGACCCAUUUUACUGAAUACAAAAUAUAUGUCAAAACAUAAUCAGUUUAUCAAAUAAUUUAGAAAUCACACUUGAAGUAUUAAGUUACUUACAUCUUCUCGCUUGAUUCCUACUUCAGAUAGACAGAUCAGGUUCACCUGUUUAAAUUUAAUUAAUUCCUUGUUAAUUUCAGAGCUAAGCAAAAUCCAAAAAUAAUACUAUUGGUCACGGCCCAACAGGGUCCAGAGUUGGCCCAUAAUGGGCAUGGCCCGAUAGGGCCCAUAUCGGACACGGCCCAAUGGGCCCGUAUAGACUCGGCUAAAUAGGGCCCCCAAUGUUGGCUUCUAAUUGUACCUGUAUACAAUAAAAUUUAUUGGAGGGACUAAUACUUAAUUAUAGGGUACUGUUCUAUAAUAAAAUUUGAGUGAGGGGACUAAAUAAAUAUUGUUGGGGACCUUUACGUAAUAAGUCUUUCCUAUAGGGAUCAAAUACAAAAUACAGAAGAUCCGUUUUGUGAAAUAAUAUACUGUCAAGGGCUUAUCUGCAAAAUUUCAUUUAGUGGCCAAAUGGGUUCGGGUUUCGGGUUUCGGGUUUGGGUUCGGAUUCGGGUUCCGGGCUCAGAUCUGAACUG